CAAGGUACAUCAAUCUUCCCGACCAAGAAAGAAAUGACGCUGUGAUUUUUCCCCAUCAGAGCGAGCGGUCAGUUAUCCGAAGCAAAGAGUAUCUGUUGAAAACCUUGCAAGAACUCAAGAUACAGGAUGACAUCGCCCUCCAACUCAUCAAGUUCGCUCUCUCUCUCUCU